AUUCAUACCUGGCAGGGGAGAUACCAUGAUUAUAAAUGUGGUUUUCCCAUGGAGAGGCUCAUCCAUUGCACUUCAGGUGUGCUGAUCCCUGUAAUUUCCCCAAAUGUGGGAAAAUCAACUGCCUAAUUUAUGGUAGUGGGGGACUGCAUUUGUGGUUUCCCCUA
rnacentral:snRNA from 1 species